GCAGUAAGCCAGACGAUCGCCGCGUGGCUGACGCCAGUUCUCCGGAGCUGGCGAAGGCCCGGGGAGGAAAGUCCGAACUCCGCAAGGCAGUGCGCCGGUUAACGGCCGGUCAGGGCGACCUGAAGGAAAGUGGCACAGAAAAUAUACCGCCGGCGCUGUGUCCGGCUGACGGCAGAAGGAGUAGAGGCGCGAACGGAACACGCGCCUCAACUCCUUCUAUUGUGAGCCGGGCACGGCGCAGGUAAGGGUGAAAAGGUGCGGUAAGAGCGCACC
rnacentral:RNase_P_RNA from 1 species